UACGUAGGGGGCGAGCGUUGUCCGGAUUUAUUGGGCUUAAAGCGCUUGUAGGCGGUUUCGUAAGUCGGAUGUGAAAACUCCAGGCUCAACUUGGAGACGCCAUUCGAUACUGCGAUGACUUGAGUCCGGUAGGGGAGUGUGGAAUUCCUGGUGUAGCGGUGAAAUGCGCAGAUAUCAGGAGGAACACCGAUGGCGAAGGCAGCUCACUGGGACGGUACUGACGCUGAGACACGAAAGCGUGGGGAGCAAACAGG
rnacentral:rRNA from 1 species